UAUAUAAUGCUAAUCUUAGUCAUUUUCCAGCACCAACAUUAAUUUGAAUGAAUAUAACUUUUCUUCUAUUCCUUAUUGAAAUUAUUUUGUUGUGUCUACUUGAUGGAGAAUGAUCUAUAUUAGGAGAACUCGCUUGCAGUGAGGGACCCUUAUAAUUUCAUUCUCCGGUCCAAACGAUUUGGGAUGACUGUUAAAUAUAAAACCAGGUCAAAAAGCAUGGGGUGAAGACAGUAAUAUCAUAGACAGUUGCGAUGGUCAAGUCAUCUCUAAUAUUAACAUUAAUGUGGACUUUGAUGUAAUCAAAUACCAGUGCUCAUGUUCUUUUACAAACGUCUUCAGUGUAGAGAAAUUGUAUAUGCCAUGUCGGAAUCCUGGUGUUGAUCACUGUAAAAACGCAAUACAAAUUAACGAGAUCAAUGGUAAACAACACCGAAUUUCUUGUUCUUCCUCACCAGCAUCAUUGGUUUCUACUGCAUAUAUUCAACUUCAGUGAAGUUGAAAAAAAGGACAGGACAAGUAAAUCCAAGAGUUGACAGAAAAUAUUUAUCAUUUGAGGAAAGACGAAAGGCUACAAGGCGGUCUUCAAAACAUCUAAAUUGACUAAUCCAAACUCUAAGCAGACUGUAGGUGUUCUCAAUAUCAUCAGUCCGAGAGGAAUCAAAGAAGUGGAUACUAGAUGAUUUUAUUUAUCUGCUGACAAGGUUGAUAGAGACAUUGUUGAUGGUCACCAAAACGUUUUUUUGACAUCGGUCGUGCGUUUUAUUCACAAAUAAACGAUUCCGAAAAGAAUAUUGAUAUUAGGAAUAUGGCGUUUUAGUGUGACUAUGCUCAGGCUUGACAUGAGCAAUAUAGUAAACAUGUAUGUCUGAUGUAUUUCCUUGAUGACAUCAAGAAACAAGGUGUAUUCAUACAUUUACUAAAAGAUUUGUACGAAUUUUGAAUUACUUUUUACAAUAUCCUAAAAUAACAUGUGUUUCCCAUAAACUUCAGUGUAAAAUUGAAGAUGAAUUUAAUUAGUAAUAAUGCAUUAUUGAAAAGUUGGAAAAUUCCUUUGUUUAAGCAUUUUUAUUUGAUUACAACUUUAAAAUGAUAUUAUGUUUAGAAAUAUAAUUAUACCAUUCAUUCUUCCGGUACAAAAUGUGGUCGUGACACAAUAAAAACUUUAAUAU